CCGGCGAGGUGGCCUGUUACUUGCGACAGGACGGAAAGACCACAUGGAGCUUUACUGUAGCUUGACAUUGGGUCUGGGUACUACAUGUACAGGAUAGGUGGGAGGCUGUGAAACCAGGACGCCAGUUUUGGCGGGGCCAUCCUUGGGAUACCACCCUUGUAGUACUGGGACUCUAACCAUCGGCCAUGAAUCUGGUCUUGGGACACUGUCAGGUGGGCAGUUUGACUGGGGCGGUCGCCUCCCAAAAGGUAACGGAGGCGCCCAAAGGUUCUCUCAGUACGGUCGGAAAUCGUACGUAGAGGGUAAAGGCAAAAGAGAGCUUGAUUGCAAGACAUACAGGGCGAGCAAGGAUGAAAAUCGGACUUAGUGCUCCGGUGGUUCUGCGUGGAAGGGCCAUCGCCCAACGGAUAAAAGCUACCCUGGGGAUAACAGGCGUAUCUCCCCACGA
rnacentral:rRNA from 1 species